AAGUCAAUGGUAUGGAUAUUUCUGAAACAAAUCUCUAAAACUUUCCCAUACUUCAUAUAAUAAUUCACCAUCCAAUUGACUAAAAUUAGUAAUAUCCAUUUUAAACUU